rnacentral:rRNA from 1 species
UACGAAGGGGGCUAGCGUUGCUCGGAUUGACUGGGCGUAAAGGGCGCGUAGGCGGAUAGUACAGUCAGGCGUGAAAUUCCUGGGCUCAACCUGGGGGCUGCGUUUGAUACGUAUUGUCUGGAGUUCGGAAGAGGGUCGUGGAAUUCCAGGUGUAGCGGUGAAAUGCGUAGAUAUCUGGAGGAACACCGGUGGCGAAGGCGGCAUCCUGGACCAACACUGACACUGAGGAGCGAAAGCCAGGGGAGCAAACGGG